AGAGUUUGAUCCUGGCUCAGGAUGAACGCUGGCGGUAUGCCUAACACAUGCAAGUCGUACGAGAGUUUUUAACUCUAGNGGCGGACGGGUGAGUAACACGUAAGAAUUUACCUUCAGGAGGGGGAUAACAAUUGGAAACAAAUGCUAAUACCCCAUAUGCUUUCGAGUGAAAUGGAUUUAUAUUUAUCCCCCUAAAGAGAAGCUUGCGUCUGAUUAGCUNGUUGGUAAGGUAAAAGCUUACCAAGGCGACGAUCAGUAUCUGGUUUGAGAGGANGAUCAGACACACNGGAACUGAGACACGGUCCAGACUCCUACGGGAGGCA
rnacentral:rRNA from 1 species